CAAAGAUGACGAAAAAAAAAGGAAAAG
rnacentral:sRNA from 1 species